CCACACUGGGACUGAGAUACGGCCCAGACUCCUACGGGAGGCAGCAGUGGGGAAUAUUGCGCAAUGGGCGAAAGCCUGACGCAGCAACGCCGCGUGCGGGAUGACGGCCUUCGGGUUGUAAACCGCUUUCAGCAGGGACGAAGGGUUUCUGACGGUACCUGCAGAAGAAGCACCGGCUAACUACGUGCCAGCAGCCGCGGUGAUACGUAGGGUGCGAGCGUUGUCCGGAAUUAUUGGGCGUAAAGAGCUUGUAGGCGGUCCGUUGCGUCGGAAGUGAAAACUCAGGGCUUAACCCUGAGCCUGCUUUCGAUACGGGCGGACUUGAGGGAUGUAGGGGAGAACGGAAUUCCUGGUGGAGCGGUGGAAUGCGCAGAUGUCAGGAGGAACACCAGUGGCGAAGGCGGUUCUCUGGACAUUUCCUGACGCUGAGAAGCGAAAGCGUGGGGAGCAAACAGGCUUAGAUACCCUGGUAGUCCACGCCGUAAACGGUGGGCACUAGGUGUGGGAUCCAUUCCACGGAUUCCGUGCCGAAGCUAACGCAUUAAGUGCCCCGCCUGGGGAGUACGGCCGCAAGGCUAAAACUCAAAUGAAUUGACGGA
rnacentral:rRNA from 1 species